GGGCCCGCACAAGCGGUGGAGCAUGUGGUUCAAUUCGACGCAACGCGAAGAACCUUACCUGGGCUCGAAGCGCAGUGGACCGAGGUGGAAACAUCUCUUUUCGCAAGAACUGCUGCGGAGGUGCUGCAUGGCUGUCGUCAGCUCGUGUCGUGAGAUGUUGGGUUAAGUCCCGCAACGAGCGCAACCCUUAUCCCUAGUUGCCAUCGGGUCAAGCCGGGCACUCUAGUGAAACUGCCUCAGAUAAUGAGGAGGAAGGUGGGGAUGACGUCAAGUCCUCAUGGCCUUUAUGUCCAGGGCUACACACGUGCUACAAUGGUCGGUACAAACCGUCGCAAACCCGUGAGGGGGAGCUAAUCGGAAAAAGCCGGCCUCAGUUCGGAUUGGAGUCUGCAACUCGACUCCAUGAAGCUGGAAUCGCUAGUAAUCGCGGAUCAGAACGCCGCGGUGAAUACGUUCCCGGGCCUU
rnacentral:rRNA from 1 species